rnacentral:tRNA from 1 species
GCCGGAGUAGCUCACCGGGUAGAGCGCGCCGCUCAUGACGGCGAGGUAGACGGUUCGAGCCCGUCCUUCGGCA